GAUGAACGCUGGCGGCGUGCUUAACACAUGCAAGUCGAACGGAGGACCCUUGACAGAGUUUUCGGACGAUGGAGAGGAAUCCUUAGUGGCGGACGGGUGAGUAACGCGUGAGCAAUCUACCUUGGAGUGGGGAAUAACACAGUGAAAACUGUGCUAAUACCGCAUAAUACAACUGUGUCGCAUGGCAGUGGUUGUCAAAGAUUUAUCGCUCUGAGAUGAGCUCGCGUCUGAUUAGCUAGUAGGCGGGGUAAAGGCCCACCUAGGCGACGAUCAGUAGCCGGACUGAGAGGUUGGCCGGCCACAUUGGGACUGAGACACGGCCCAG
rnacentral:rRNA from 1 species